rnacentral:rRNA from 1 species
UACGGAGGAUGCGAGCGUUAUCCGGAUUUAUUGGGUUUAAAGGGUGCGCAGGCGGGAGAUUAAGUCGGCGGUGAAAUUUUGCAGCUCAACUGUAAAAGUGCCUUCGAAACUGGUUUCCUUGAGUGUGGAUGAAGUAGGCGGAAUUUGUGGUGUAGCGGUGAAAUGCAUAGAUAUCACGAGGAACUCCGAUUGCGCAGGCAGCUUACUAAACCAUAACUGACGCUCAGGCACGAAGGCGUGGGGAUCAAACAGGAUUAGAUACCU